rnacentral:rRNA from 1 species
GACGAACUGUCCUAACGUUGUUCGGAAUCACUGGGCUUAAAGGGCGCGUAGGCGGUCCGACAAGUCGGGGGUGAAAUCCUGCAGCUUAACUGUAGAAGUGCCUUCGAUACUGUCGGUCUUGAGGGAGAUAGGGGUGUGCGGAACUUCCAGUGGAGCGGUGAAAUGCGUUGAUAUUGGAAGGAACGCCGGAGGCGAAAGCGGCGCACUGGAUCUCUUCUGACGCUGAGGCGCGAAAGCUAGGGGAGCAAACGGG